CAGGUGUUCUGGGGGCUUGCUCCAAUCGC
rnacentral:piRNA from 1 species